GGGGUGAAGUCGUAACAAGGUAGCCGUAGGGGAACCUGCGGCUGGAUCACCUCNUUAAUCGAAGACUNCAGNUUCUUCAUAAGUUCCCACACGAAUUGCUUGAUUCCAUUGCGAAAGACGAUUGGGUCUGUAGCUCAGUUGGUUAGAGCGCACCCCUGAUAAGGGUGAGGUCGGCAGUUCGAAUCUGCCCAGACCCACCAAUUGUUGUGGGGUUUGGCCUUGUACGAAUAUGGGGCCAUAGCUCAGCUGGGAGAGCGCCUGCCUUGCACGCAGGAGGUCAGCGGUUCGAUCCCGCUUGGCUCCACCAUAUACAGCCGCGUUGAGAGUUCAGAAAUGAGCGUUCCUGCUAAGGCAGAUGAAUGUUGAUUUCUGGUCUUUGACCAGUAUGAAAAUCGUUCUUUAAAAAUUUGGGUAUGUGAUAGAAGUGACUGAUUGAUUACUUUCACUGGUAAUUAAUUUGGUCAAGGUAAAAUUUGUAGUUCUCAAUUGCAAAUUUUCGGCGAAUGUCGUCUUUACGUUAGAGACAGUAACCAGAUUGCUUGGGGUUAUAUGGUCAAGUGAAGAAGCGCAUACGGUGGAUGNCCUUGGCAGUCAGAGGCGAUGAAGGACGUGCUAA
rnacentral:misc_RNA from 1 species